rnacentral:lncRNA from 1 species
ACUGGCUUCCUUGCUCCUCAACUUGCAGACGGCCUAUCGUGGGACUUUACCUUGUGAUUGUGAAGAGGGUUUAACUCUGCAACAUAAUCAGUGCACAGAAACCUAAAUUGGAAAUCUCUUUCACUACAGACAAGACAGUUCAGAAGUGAAAAGUCACAGUAAAAUUGGGCAUUUCUUUCCAUAGACUUAACAGAAGCAACACCUGGAUUCCAGCAGCUGUACUGGUGUAACUGGCACUUGAACGUCUCCAUCCAAGUGCCCCUUUGUGGCAGAUGAAGAGUUCAGGUUUUGUUCCUCAUCAGCUUUGUGACCUUGGGCAAAGUCCUUGACCUAUCAGAGCCUCAAUUUCCCUAUCUGUGGAAAGACGACCAUGAAAAAAUAUGCACUAUGGGGUGGUUCUGGUGGGGAGAGUUAAAUUAGAUAUAAUUUAGAAAUUCUUAGCAUAAUAUUUGUAUCAUAUAUAUGUUUAUAUAUGUUAAUAUGUAACACAUAAUAGUAUAUAAGAAAGUCAUCUAUAUGAACUUCACACAGCAUAUUAUAUUAUAUAUACACACUACAUGGUGUAUAUGACAUAUACUAUCUAAUAUAUGAUAUGGUUUGGCUGUGUCCCCACCCAAAUCUUAUCUUGAAUUGUAAAUCCCACAAUUCCCACAUGUUGUGGGAGGAACCUAGUGGGAGAUAAUUGAAUCAUGGGAGUGGGUCUUUCCUGUGCUGUUUUUGUGAUAGUGAAUAAGUCUCAUGAGAUCUGAUGGUUAUAUACACGGGAAUUUCCCUGUACAAGCUCUCUUCUCUUGUCUGCUGCCAUGUGAGACAUGCCUUUCAUCUUCUGCCAUGCUUGUGAGGCCUUCCCAGCCACAGUUCCACGUGGCUGGGGAGUAAUAAACCUCUUUCUUUUGUAAAUUGCCCAGUCUCAGGUAUGUCUUUAUCAGCAGCAUGAAAACAGAU